rnacentral:tRNA from 1 species
GGGCAGUUGGCUCAGUUGGUAGAGCACUGCGUUCACAUCGCAGGGGUCAUAGGUCCGAGUCCUAUACUGCCCA